AACUUUUAACAAUGGAUCUCUUGGUUCUCGCAUCGAUGAAGAACGUAGCAAAGUGCGAUAACUAGUGUGAAUUGCAUAUUCGUGAAUCAUCGAGUCUUUGAACGCAGCUUGCACUCUAUGGAUCUUCUAUAGAGUACGCUUGCUUCAGUAUCAUAACCAACCCACACAUAAAAUUUAUUUUAUGUGGUGAUGGACAAGCUCGGUUAAUUUAAUUAUUAUACCGAUUGUCUAAAAUACAGCCUCUUUGUAAUUUUCAUU
rnacentral:rRNA from 1 species